GAUGAACGCUGGCGGCGUGCCUAAUACAUGCAAGUCGAGCGAACUGAUUAGAAGCUUGCUUCUAUGACGUUAGCGGCGGACGGGUGAGUAACACGUGGGCAACCUGCCUGUAAGACUGGGAUAACUUCGGGAAACCGAAGCUAAUACCGGAUAGGAUCUUCUCCUUCAUGGGAGAUGAUUGAAAGAUGGUUUCGGCUAUCACUUACAGAUGGGCCCGCGGUGCAUUAGCUAGUUGGUGAGGUAACGGCUCACCAAGGCAACGAUGCAUAGCCGACCUGAGAGGGUGAUCGGACACACUGGGACUGAGACACGGCCCAGACUCCUACGGGAGGCAGCAGUAGGGAAUCUUCCGCAAUGGACGAAAGUCUGACGGAGCAACGCCGCGUGAGUGAUGAAGGCUUUCGGGUCGUAAAACUCUGUCGUUAGGGAAGAACAAGUACGAGAGUAACUGCUCGUACCUUGACGGUACCUAACCAGAAAGCCACGGCUAACUACGUGCCAGCCGCCGCCGUAAGAC
rnacentral:rRNA from 1 species